UCAUGUGGCAGCAUAUUGACACCCAUAUGGGUCAUCAGGUGGGUUGGAACCUUUAGAUCCACUGCACAGACCGCUGCCACUUGAGCCAGUGGCAUGCGACCCCUUGACAGCCCACUUUUGCAUCGUAUUCUACAGAUUUGAGAAGUUCUGGACUAGUGGAUUCGACUUGGGCCUGACUCUGACUUGUUGUGAGACUGUGGUGUGGAAGAGAAGAUAGGAGCACUGCACAAUAAGAACAAGCAUCCCUCCCUCUCCCCCAGGUUUACUGUUUUCCACGUUGUUUGGGCUGGGGACGGAAAUUCUCAGGAUAUGAGAAGGAAAUAGGAGGCAGUAAGGAAGAGAGGAAAUGUGGCAGAAGUAUUUUCUGCAGAUAGAGAAGCAAAUGGAAAAGAAAGAGAGAAGGAACAUACAUCAAAAGAGCUUCUAAGCAUUUCUGGAGGGCGAGGCAUUGAGGCACCAGGAGAAAUCGCUUGAAUAGUGAAUAGGUUUUUCUUUGGUGCUGGUGUGUACGUGCUGAAGAAUUUACUGAGAGAAAAUGAAGUCAAAGAGCUGAAUAGGAUGCAAAGAGACAGACACUGCAACACUUCUCAAGCAUGUA